rnacentral:lncRNA from 1 species
CUUUUUCUUUCAGUUGUCAAAAUGUUACCAUUAUUGCUGGGAUUCUAAGAAAUCUCUACAAAUGCCUCUGAUGACAUCAGAAACAAUUGGUUCUAAUCCUGUGAACUCUCUUGUGAAGAAAGCAUGAGACUCCUUCGGUUUAGAAGCCAUAUCUUUCAGGUCAUCCAGAGGUGCCCAAGCCACACCAACAGAGAAGAUAGUGAUUCCUACAAUGAAAACAUUUUAAAGUGAAUUGAAAAUCAGGUCUAGCUAAUAUAUGGAAUUAUGUCUAUAUGUUUUCCAUACACUGUUACAUAGUUGCAGCGAAAACUGCUUACUAAUUUCUGGACAAUUAAAUCCCCUGAACAAAUUAAGUUUUCACAGUCAUUGUGACGAGAGUGGCAAAAGAGUGGUCCAAACCAGAAACUCUGCUAUAUCUGUAAUUCGCCACAUUAACAGUAAAUGCGGAUGGUGAAAAUUUUCCGUAUGAGGUUGGCCUGCAUCAAACAGUAUACUGGAGUCAGAGUCACAAUCCAUUAAAGCAAGGAAGAAUGGCACAAGAGAUGGGAUAAAACAAGGACCUUACCUGCAUCAUGUGCAGCAGCUGCAGGGCCUUGGACAUCAUCAUAGGACUGCCCAUCUGUGACAAUUACUAGGAAGUUCUUGUUGGGGCUCUCCCUUAUAGGGCCAAACACAUUUCUAACAGUGAAGGAAAUGGCAUCACCAGUAGCUGUUCCACCACUCAUAUAGCGGAUGUUUCUGAUGACAGCUAGGACAUUCUCUUUGGUGCUAUAGUCAGUGAAACUGAACUCCGUGCGCUGAUCAUAAGUAAACUGUACAGCAGCUAUCUUGGCACCAAUGUCCGAGAUUUCAAAAGUCUUGGCUAUGUUGGAAACAAAUUCAAGCAUGAGGCGGAAAUUGCUAUCUCCAACACUGCUGGAGCCAUCAAUUAGAAAGGCAAUGUUCACUGAGUUAUAACAGGUCUUGCUGCACAUCAUUUGUUCAUGAGUGCACAGCUUCUGUACCAGAGGCUUUACGUAUUUUGUGGUGCCAAACCAGUUGGGCAUGUGGUAAGAGAAGAAGCCAUUAUUCCGACAGACAGCCUAAUGGGGGAGACACAUAAAAGAUAUCCAAAAGGAUCAAAAGUUGUUUCUUCUUAAAAACUGGAAAAUCCUGAAUGUUUCAAGUUAAUCUAGAUAAGAGGCAGUCAGCACUGCACUUAGAGGUCCAAAAUGGAAUACCCAUCACUGUAACAGAAGAUAACCCUCACCACUUUACCUUGUCAACAAAUGUGACAUCCUGAACCAUCCCCAGUUCUUCAGGGAUAGGCUUGGCCACAGAAACUAUAAAUACAUUGACACCAAACUCUCUGGCCACAAUGCCUGCUUCCUCGAUGUCAUCAGAAGGCCAACCAUCAAUAAAUACCACCACCACUUUGGGGAUCCCUUUUCUUACUCCAGCAUCUACCGUGAAGAAUUUCUGAGCAGUAUGCUUCAAGGCUUUUCCUAAAUUUGAAAAAGAAGCAAACAAAUAGCCUUUACCACUGCUCAAACCACAUUUCUGUUUCCCUGUAGCAUUUGAUGCUGCAAAGUUUAAGAAUUAUAUAUAGAACUGGCAGUGGGGCGGGGCACACAAAAAAGAAUUAUAUAGAACCCAGUUCUGUAACAGAUGCAUCAGCUGGGAAAGUUUAAUUAUCUACCAGGCCUAUUUAUCUUCACAAGCCAUAUUAGUUCCCCCUCCACCUCCUAGAAGCCUCACAUUUGUUUACCCCACAUCAAUCGCCAGUUAGAAACACAAAACUGAUUCCCACUUCCAUGCAUGUGCUCUCUAUGUAGCCCUUUGGUGACUGAUUAGUACCUCUAAGAAGUCUCUCUUCAGAGUCAACGGUAGUGCUACUCAUUCUUUC